rnacentral:snRNA from 1 species
AGAUGUGAAGGCGAACUGGCUGAGACAUCUGACAACCCAUUGAUCACCAGGGUUGAUUCAGCUGAUCUGGCUGGCUAGGCGGGUAUCCCCUUCCUCACUCACCACUCCAUGCGCAUCCCUCCCAAAGGUGCAUGCUCGGUGGAAGAGGACAACCAUCCCAUAUAGAAGGAGUGUACCGUUCUUUGGUCAAGGGUAUAUGAUAGCUUCGCUCCCCUGGUAGAACUUCCAAACAAGCUCAAGGUCCAAAGCCUUCUCAAUCUUGACACAAUCUUGAACAUGCUAAGCAUGGAAAACAUCUCUAAGAUCAGCUUGUCCUUGAGAUGGGGGAUUUCAGA